AAUUUUGGACAAUGGGGGAAACCCUGAUCCAGCCGUCCCGCGUGUAUGAUGAAGGCCUUCGGGUUGUAAAGUACUUUUGGCAGAGAAGAAAAGGUAUCCCCUAAUACGGGAUACUGCUGACGGUAUCUGCAGAAUAAGCACCGGCUAACUACGUGCCAGCAGCCGCGGUAAUACGAAGGGUGCAAGCGUUAAUCGGAAUUACUGGGCGUAAAGCGCGCGUAGGUGGUUCGUUAAGUUGGAUGUGAAAGCCCCGGGCUCAACCUGGGAACUGCAUCCAAAACUGGCGAGCUAGAGUACGGUAGAGGGGGGUAGAAUUCCACGUGUAGCAGUGAAAUGCGUAGAUAUGUGGAGGAAUACCGAUGGCGAAGGCAGCCCCCUGGGAUAAUACUGACGCUCAGACACGAAAGCGUGGGGAGCAAACAGG
rnacentral:rRNA from 1 species